GCUGGCGGCGUGCUUAACACAUGCAAGUCGAACGAUGAACCCGGAGCUUGCUCUGGGGGAUUAGUGGCGAACGGGUGAGUAACACGUGAGUAACCUGCCCUGGACUCUGGGAUAAGCGUUGGAAACGACGUCUAAUACCGGAUAGGACCUUGGAUCGCAUGAUCUGGGGUGGAAAGUUUUUUCGGUCUGGGAUGGACUCGCGGCCUAUCAGCUUGUUGGUGAGGUAAUGGCUCACCAAGGCGUCGACGGGUAGCCGGCCUGAGAGGGUGACCGGCCACACUGGGACUGAGACACGGCCCAGACUCCUACGGGAGGCAGCAGUGGGGAAUAUUGCACAAUGGGCGAAAGCCUGAUGCAGCAACGCCGCGUGCGGGAUGACGGCCUUCGGGUUGUAAACCGCUUUUAGUAGGGAAGAAGGGCUUCGGCUUGACGGUACCUGCAGAAAAAGGACCGGCUAACUACGUG
rnacentral:rRNA from 1 species